rnacentral:lncRNA from 1 species
GGGAAAGAGAACAACCACCACGUUUUGCUCAACCUGGGACGUAUGCAUCUCGAUGGAAGGCUCUUGAAGAAAUGGAAAAGCAGCAGCGUGAGCAGGUUGAUAGAAACAUCAGAGAAGCCAAAGAGAAACUGGAGGCAGAAAUGGAAGCAGCUAGGCAUGAACACCAAUUAAUGCUAAUGAGGCAAGAUCUAAUGAGGCAUCAAGAAGAACUCAGAUGCUUGGAAGAACUCAGAAAUCAAGAGUUGCAGAGGGUGGAGCCAAGAUGGCCGAAUAGGAACAGCUCCAUUCUACAGCUCCCAGCAUGAGCGACGCAGAAGAUGAAUGAUUUCUGCAUUUCCAACUGAGGUACCGGAUUCAUCUCACUGGGGAUUGUCAGACAGUGGGUGCAGGACAGUGGGUGCAGCGCAUCAAGCAUGAGCUGAAGCAGGGCGAGGCAUUGCCUCACCUGGGAAGCACAAGGGGUCAGGGAAUUCCCUAUCCUAGCCAAGGAGAGGGGUGACAGACGGCACCUGGAAAAUCGGGUCACUCCCACCCUAAUACUGCGCUUUUCCGACGGUCUUAGCAAAUGGCACACCAGGAGAUUAUAUUCCCCACCUGGCUCGGAGGGUCCUACGCCCACGGAGCCUCGCUCAUUGCUAGCACAGCAGUCUGAGAUCAAACUGCAAGGCAGCUGCGAGUCUCGGGGAGGGGCGCCCAUGAACGCCGAGGCUCGAGUAGGUAAACAAAGCGGCUGGGAAAUUCGAACUGGGUGGAGCCCACUGCAGCUCAAGGAGGCCUGCCUGCCUCUGUAGACUCCACCUCUGGGGGCAGGGCAUAGCCAAGCAAAAGGCAGCAGAAACCUCUGCAGACUUAAAUGUCCCUGUCUGACAGCUUUGAAGAGAGCAGUGGUUCUCCCA